rnacentral:rRNA from 1 species
UACGUAGGGCGCAAGCGUUGUCCGGAAUUAUUGGGCGUAAAGAGCUCGUAGGCGGCUUGUCACGUCGAUUGUGAAAGCCCGAGGCUUAACCUCGGGUCUGCAGUCGAUACGGGCUAGCUAGAGUGUGGUAGGGGAGAUCGGAAUUCCUGGUGUAGCGGUGAAAUGCGCAGAUAUCAGGAGGAACACCGGUGGCGAAGGCGGAUCUCUGGGCCAUUACUGACGCUGAGGCGCGAAAGCGUGGGGAGCGAACCGG